ensembl:lincRNA
AUGGAACAGAGGGAGCCUCCUGCCCAGGGCAAGCGUGUGGAGACCACCAGGGGCCCCAGGGCUAUUGCUCAGCCAAAGGGCCAGCAUCCCACUGAAGAAGAUCAGAAAGAGGCUUCUGAUUCUGUCUCCAGAGCCUUUGAGGUCACUCCUGACGCUGACAUGGCUGUGAAGAGCUGGGUGACAGGCAUUGCUGCCUCCAAGGUUGCUUUGAGAGGAAUAGGUGGGGGAUCAGGAAGAAGCCAGCUGCAGGUCAGAAGGGAGCACUGCCUCCCCGGGGGAGCCCCUGGGGAGGGUCGGACUGGGGGUCCCUAGGGCGGUGCAGGGCUGGAGAGUCAGAGGGAGGCUCAGGAUGGGUGUGGGAGGCUGGGGUCAAAGCUGGGACUGGAGCUCGGCUCUCUAAGACCCUGAGCCCCCCUCCCUCCUUUCCUUGCCUUUUGUCGCCCUCCUGCAGGCAAGGCCUCUGCUAAUGCUGCUUUUUCUCUCCUGUAGCCAUCCAUGGGAGGGAGCUGUGAGACGGCCUGGCAGGACUGGCUCUCACACCCCACAGAGUGAGAAGCUCACCCUGCGCAGGAACAUCCUGGGGCAGCAGGCUCAGCACAUUUUACAUUUUGAAUAUGAACAAAGUAAACUUCAGGGUAAAGAAAAAACACAAAAAUUUGCUGAGCACACAAUGAUUGAGUGUCUGUGGUAUACGUGAUGCUUUGCCAGAACCAGUCUUCAAACCUCAGGGUUCUGGGUCCUUGGAGGCCCAGCUCCAACCCCAACUCACCCAAGCACCCUCCACCCCCAUCACGUACCCCUCACCAGGGCUACCCAGCUUGGGCCAUCUCAGACCACUUGGACUUCCUCCCGAGGCCUCCAGCCCCUCAGGCCUCACACCCUGAGCCCCUCAACCUGGAAACCAGCCACUGGCCUGUACACUAUGGGGGCCCCUGAGGUUUCUACCUCCUGCUACCCUUGGCCUGAAAGGGGUCGGUGGGACCCUGCCCUGGGCCUCUGGGAGGCUGUACCCUUGCUUCUGCCUCAUCCUGUUCUCCAGGGCCCUGUCCCUUUCUUGCUGGGCCCUCCCAGAAUGACCCCACCCCCAGUCACUGCCCUCACUGGCCUAAGUCACCUCCUCCAGGAAGCCUUCCAGACUGAUGGCUCCCAGGCACUGAGCAUCCCCCAACCUUGCUGAGAAUGGUGGAUGCCCACCAUGGGCCCUCGGAAGCCAGAGAACCCUGGGCCUCCCUGCAGGGGCCGCCACAGAGUUUUCCUGCCACUGCAAUUUCAUCCAGGUCAAUCCCUUUCCUGCUUGUGUUUCCCAAGAAUAACUGUGGAACAUGCUGGAAAUGCAACAUCCUGAGAUAGGGAGAACAGCCUGAAGCAGCGAGGGCCUAGUUCCUGUCGCUCCAAGGGAAGGGAACAUCAUGAGUUAGAGAGUGGCCCCCGAAGAAGAAAGCGAGGCAAAAAUCCCUGUAAGUAGAGCUCACCUGGGCCAAGGUGAAGACAACCACUGGGGAGACUCAGAAUUGGAAUAUGAGCUCCCUUCAGCCUUUGUAACAGGCGUUUCUUUGAGACGGAGUCUCCCUCUGUCUCCCAGGCUGCAGUACAAUGGUGGGAUCUGGGCUCACUGCAACCUCCACCUCGCAGGUUCAAGCGAUUCUCCUGUCUCAGCCUGAGUAGCUGGGAUUACAGGCUCACACCAGCAUGUCUGGCUAAUUUUUUUGUAUUUUUAGUAGAGACGGGGUUUCACCGUGUUGACCAGGCUGGUCUGGAAUUCCUGACUUCAAGUAAUCUGCCUGCCUCAGCCUCCCAAGGUGCUACGAUUACAGGCGUGAGCCACCAUGCCUGGCUACAAGCAGGCUUUUAAAGGCAAGCGGGCCAGGUGCAAUGGCUCGUAUCUGUAGUCCCAGCAUUUCGGGAGGCUGAAGCAGGUGUAUCAUUUGAGCUCAGGAGUUUGAGACCAGCCUGGCCAACAUGGUGAAACCCCAUGUCUACCAAAAAUACAAAAAAUUAGCUGGGCAUGGUGGUGCAUGCCUGUAGACCCAGCUACUCAGGAGGAUGAGGCAGGAGGAUCACUUGGGCCUGGGAGGCAGAGGUUGCAGUGAGCCAAGAUCACACCACUGCACUCCAGCCUGGGCAACAGAGCAAGACGCCAUCUCAAAAAAAAAAAACAAAAAAACGUUUAUUUGAAAAAAUUGAAAAAAUAAAAAAGUUUAUUUGAGGCCAGGUGUGGUGGCUCGGACCUGUAAUCCUAGCACUUUGGAAGGCUGACGUGAGAGGAUCACUUGAGCUUCAGAGUUUGGGAUCAGCGUGGGCAACAUAGUGAGACCUCAACUCUAUUUAUUAAAAAUUUUAAAGAAAGAAAAAAAGUUUAUUUGAGCAUUUAUUGCUCAGUGAACCUUCCUAUCACAAGACUGUGGGUGACUGGCACUCCCCGGGAAAGCCAGGGGGACAGUUAUCAAGCCUUUGCAGAAGCAAACCCAGGAAGACAACUCGCCAGUUAGAGUGGAAAGUCUCUCGUUAGGGCUGGGGGUUUCAGGCUGGCGCCAUUUCUGGAUUAAAUGUGAGGUUCCCAUAGGGCAAGGUUUCUUCAUGGAGAAAUUGAAGGACCGGAGCCACCCCAGCCCAAUGGCUUCCCAAAGAGAAUUUUUACAAACAACGUUGUCCUUCCAGUCAGCCUAUCUGUGAUGAGAGAUUGGCCAAAACAUAGGCAUGAGCGCCACUCUCUCACCAUCAUGGGUGGGCGGUAGUUGUCUCAUUCAGGGACUUGAGGUCACAGCGUGAGGCUCUUUUAGGAGAGAUUUCUUUAGUUGUUCAUCUCAUUGUGGUUUCUUCUUUUUUUGAGACAGAAUUUUGCUUUUGUUGCCCAGGCUGGAGUGCAAUGGCACAAUCUCAGCUCACCGCAACCUCCGCCUCCAGGAUUCAAG